rnacentral:rRNA from 1 species
AAGCGUUUAUGACCAGACUUGGGCCCGGUGAAUCAUCCAGCGUUCUCGCUGGUGCACUUUGCCGGGCUCAGGCCAGCAUCAGUUCGCCGCGGGGGAUAAAAGCUUCGGGAACGUGGCUCCCUCGGGAGUGUUAUAGCCCGUUGCAUAAUACCCUGCGGUGGACUGAGGUUCGCGCUCCGCAAGGAUGCUGGCGUAAUGGUCAUCAGCGA